rnacentral:rRNA from 1 species
AUUGAACGCUGGCGGCAUGCCUUACACAUGCAAGUCGAACGGUAACAGGUCUUCGGAUGCUGACGAGUGGCGAACGGGUGAGUAAUACAUCGGAACGUGCCCGAGAGUGGGGGAUAACGAGGCGAAAGCUUUGCUAAUACCGCAUACGAUCUCAGGAUGAAAGCAGGGGACCGCAAGGCCUUGCGCUCACGGAGCGGCCGAUGGCAGAUUAGGUAGUUGGUGGGAUAAAAGCUUACCAAGCCGACGAUCUGUAGCUGGUCUGAGAGGACGACCAGCCACACUGGGACUGAGACACGGCCCAGACUCCUGCGGGAGGCAGCAGUGGGGAAUUUUGGACAAUGGGCGCAAGCCUGAUCCAGCCAUGCCGAGUGCAGGAUGAAGGCCUUCGGGUUGUAAACUGCUUUUGUACGGAACGAAAAGACUCCUUCUAAUAAAGGGGGUCCAUGACGGUACCGUAAGAAUAAGCACCGGCUAACUACGUGCCAGCAGCCGCCGUAACAC